UGGGGAAUAUUGGACAAUGGAGGGAACUCUGAUGCAGCGACGCCGCGUGAACGAAGAAGGCUUUCGAGUCGUAAAGUUCUUUUAUAGGGGAAGAUAAUGACGGUACCAUAAGAAAAAGCCCCGGCUAACUACGUGCCAGCAGCCGCGGUAAUACGUAGGGGGCUAGCGUUGUCCGGAAUCACUGGGCGUAAAGGGUUCGCAGGCGGAAAUGCAAGUCAGGUGUAAAAGGCAGUAGCUUAACUACUGUAAGCAUUUGAAACUGCAUAUCUUGAGAAGAGUAGAGGUAAGUGGAAUUUUUAGUGUAGCGGUGAAAUGCGUAGAUAUUAAAAAGAAUACCGGUGGCGAAGGCGACUUACUGGGCUCAUUCUGACGCUGAGGAACGAAAGCGUGGGUAGCAAACAGG
rnacentral:rRNA from 1 species